GAUGAACGCUGGCGGCGUGCCUAAUACAUGCAAGUCGAGCGAACAGACGAGGAGCUUGCUCCUCUGACGUUAGCGGCGGACGGGUGAGUAACACGUGGAUAACCUACCUAUAAGACUGGGAUAACUUCGGGAAACCGGAGCUAAUACCGGAUAAUAUAUUGAACCGCAUGGUUCAAUAGUGAAAGACGGUUUUGCUGUCACUUAUAGAUGGAUCCGCGCCGCAUUAGCUAGUUGGUAAGGUAACGGCUUACCAAGGCAACGAUGCGUAGCCGACCUGAGAGGGGGAGGGCCAGCACGGGACAGGGACCACGGACUAGACGACGACGGGAGGGAGCAGGAGGGAAUAGUAGGGAAUGGGCGAAAGCUGAAAAGAGCAAUGUGGCGUGAGAGAUGAAGGUCUUGGGAUCGUAAAACUCUGUUAUUAGGGAAGAACAAAAGCGUAAGUACAUGUGCAUAGCUUGACGGUACGUAAUCAGAAAGCGACGGCUAACUACGUG
rnacentral:rRNA from 1 species